CCAAGAGGGAAGACUUGGAGAUGGAGAAACACAAGAACACUAUUAAGAUGGCAUUUUAUUUUACAGGAGGCCCCUGCUUGCUUUGCAAGUGUUGCAGGAGGAAAUUAUAAAAGGUGAUGCGGACUCCUGAAUUUUUCAGGAUCAUGAAUGCUGGAAGAUUGACAGCUCUGGGAAGAGCGCCAUCUCUCAAGUGCACAUUUUAGGAGAUGCAGAAGUUGAAACUGCGCCUCUCCACUACCUUAUGAGGCCUCUGCUGACAUGACGUGACGUGCCCAGCACUCAGCACGGGUGGGAGAGAUUUCCAUGAUUCUUUCGGUUCUCCCUAUUUUUGCCAUUUCCUCCAAGUUACUAUGACUUUGUGGCCUGUCUUUGUGGUUAUGAAUCAAAGCACCUCUAAAUUGUGCCAUCUGGGUUGUGCAAUAUAGUAACUGGGGAGAACUGGAAGCAGGUACAGAUCAUCUUCAACCCCCACUGUCUGACUUAGGGAUGGAUUGGCUCCAGAAACCAGAAACAAAGCCCAG
rnacentral:lncRNA from 1 species